rnacentral:rRNA from 1 species
AUGGGGCGCGGAGGCUGUCUGCACUUGGUGUGGAUGCUGCAGCCCUUUGUGAACGUACACUAUGUUGCUUUGGCGGCUCCGGCCGCCAAAGGACCUUCAAACUCCAGUGACUUAACGCAGACGUCUGAUAAACAAGUUAAUAAACUAAAACUUUCAACAACGGAUCUCUUGGUUCUGGCAUCGAUGAAGAACGCAGCGAAAUGCAAUGAGCAAUGUGAAUUGCAGAAUUCAGUGAAUCAUCGAAUCUUUGAACGCACAUUGCGCCCCUUGGUAUUCCGGGGGGCAUGCCUGUUCGAGCGUCAUUACAACCCUCAAGCUCUGCUUGGAAUUGGGCACCGUCCUCACUGCGGACGCGCCUCAAAGACCUCGGCGGUGGCUGUUCAGCCCUCAAGCGUAGUAGAAUACACCUCGCUUUGGAGCGGUUGGCGUCGCCCGCCGGACGAACCUUCUGAACUUUUCUCAAGGUUGACCUCGGAUCAGGUAGGGAUACCCGCUGAACUUAAGCAUAUCAAUAGCCGGAGGAAGAUCAUUACCGAGAUUUUCGAGCUCCGGCUCGACUCUCCAACACUGUGCACGUACCUCUUUGCUUUGGCGGCUCCGCCGCAAAGGACUUCAAACUCAGUCAGUAAACGCAACUCUGAUAAACAAGUUAAUAAACUAAAACUUUCAACAACGGACUUGGUUCUGGCAUCGAUAAAACGCCCGAAGCUAUCCAACUGUGAAUUGCAGAAAUCAGUGAAUCAACGACCUAGAACGCACAUGCGCCCUGGUAUUCGGGGGCAUGCUGUUCGAGCGUCAUUACACCUCAAGCUCUGCUGGGAAUUGGGCACGUCCUCCUGGCGGACCCGCCUCAAAGACUCGGCGGUGGCUGUCACCCUCAAGCGUAGUAGAACGACCACACUUUGCACGUUGGCGUCCCCGCCGGAGACUUCGGACUUUCCAAGGUCAUUCGGAUCAGGAGGAUACCGCUCACUUAGCAUCAUUACGCGAGGGAAAAUAG